GCCCUGGUGGUUCAGUGGUAGAAUUCCCGCCUGCCGUGCGGGAGGCCUGGGUUCAGUUCCCAGCUGAUGCA